AGCAGUCGCCACGGGAAUACAGAGGGUGCGAGCGUUAAUCGGAUUUACUGGGCGUAAAGCGUGCGUAGGCGGCUUUUUAAGUCGGAUGUGAAAUCCCUGAGCUUAACUUAGGAAUUGCAUUCGAUACUGUUCAACUAGAGGAUCGGAGGGGGAAGCGGAAUUCUUGGUGUAGCGGUGAAAUGCGUAGAUAUCAAGAGGAACACCGGUGGCGAAGGCGGCUUCCUGGAAGAUACCUGACUCUGAAACACGAAAGCCAGGGGAGCGAAUGGGAUUAGAUACCCCGGUAGUCCCUGUCUCUUAUAC
rnacentral:rRNA from 1 species